GCUUACCACUUUGUGAUUCAUGACUGGGGUGAAGUCGUAACAAGGUAACCGUAGGGGAACCUGCGGUUGGAUCACCUCCUUACCU
rnacentral:rRNA from 1 species